rnacentral:rRNA from 1 species
UACGGAGGGAGCUAGCGUUGUUCGGAAUUACUGGGCGUAAAGCGCACGUAGGCGGCUUUGUAAGUUAGAGGUGAAAGCCCGGAGCUCAACUCCGGAAUUGCCUUUAAGACUGCAUCGCUUGAAUCCAGGAGAGGUGAGUGGAAUUCCGCGUGUAGAGGUGAAAUUCGUAGAUAUUCGGAAGAACACCAGUGGCGAAGGCGGCUCACUGGACUGGUAUUGACGCUGAGGUGCGAAAGCGUGGGGAGCAAACAGG